rnacentral:tRNA from 1 species
GAGGGUUCAAGUCCCUCUACCCCCAUAUAUUGGCAAAAUUUUGUUCCAAUUUUAGAAAUUCAAAUUGCCGGGAUAGCUCAGUCGGUAGAGCAGGGGAUUGAAAAUCCUCGUGUCAC